rnacentral:antisense_RNA from 1 species
AGAGAGGCUUCCACGGUUUUCCGUUUGGGGGCCUUUUUCUUUUGC